GGUUCGAUUCCAUUAUAGGUUGCACAUCACUUUUUUGUAUUAUAAAGCGAGUUAGGAACCUACCUACCUACCGCAAAGUGCCAAGAAUGAGGCAUUAAAAAGUUCGACUUUUGUUAUUUCAAAUUAUCUUUGUAAGGUGGCGCUAGCAUUAUGGUAGCAGCCGCAUUUUGUAUUUUCUUAGUUAAAUUAGCUAGCAUUUCUGUGCUUCAGGUACCGAGUACGAAGCCACACUGAGUAUUUUUCUGCAUUGCAGCAGCGUGUGUCGCAAGAGGAUGCAGCGCCGCGACGUAUCAUAGCGGCUACCUGACAAAGCGAGGAGUGGCGCGACGGCUCAUCGGCGUCAUCGCUUGCGCCGACGCAGUCUGAGCAGCCAAGCGGACUGCGCUCUCCGCGCAGCUUCCCUCCAGAUUGCGUAACUUUUGAACCCGCCGUUACAUUGACCGUUAUUUUUGUCAGGACCAGCCGUUAAGUUCCUGACGCGUAUUCGUUCAUGAACUGCGGAGCGCCAGACUGCCUUCCACAUCUUCUUUGCUCACGCACAUACCUACGUGCAAGAGAGAAGGCGCGUGAGGGUGAAGACACCGAUCAUGUACCCUCUACAGGUGCCAAACGGGCAGACGAAAACGCCGCCGCCCAAAGGGCCACCACGAAACUCCUGAACUCCAAGAACCCAGUAAGAAGACCUGCUGAAUUAAGGAGCUACAGCCCAGCAGCCUGUUCGAAACCAGGUUUAUCAAGGUCGAUACCUGUAAUGGACGUUACCCGGAGGCAC